AAACUUUCAACAACGGAUCUCUUGGUUCUCGCAUCGAUGAAGAACGUAGCGAAUUGCGAUAAGUAAUGUGAAUUGCAGAUACUCGUGAAUCAUUGAAUUUUUGAACGCACAUUGCGCUCUCAGGUAUUCCUGGGAGCAUGCCUGUUUGAGCGUCAU
rnacentral:rRNA from 1 species